rnacentral:rRNA from 1 species
AUGCAUUCGGUUCCAAAGCUUGUGAGUAAGAUGAUGGCCUCUAGAUUGGCUCUAGAAAUACAUGGGCUUGUCACGAACAAUCAAAGUGCUUUCAUAAGAGGUCGAGCUAUCCAAGACAACUUUUUAUAUGUCAAGAAUGUUAUCAAGGCGGCUCACUCUGCAAAAUUCCCCCUUGUGUUCCUGAAGUUGGAUAUAGCUAAAGCUUUUGAUUCUGUGGGGUGGGGAUAUUUACUCGAGGUCAUGGAGGCAAUGGGCUUUGGGCAGCGGUGGCGCGAUAUGGUGUCGCUCAUUUUGUCAACCUCCUCGUCAAGGGUCUUGCUCAAUGGAUCACCAGGAGUUCCAUUUCUUCACAGAAGGGGGCUGCGUCAGGGGGAUCCUCUAUCCCCGCUGCUCUUCAUCAUCGCAAUGGAGCCACUGCAAAGACUACUGACUAUGGCCACAGACAGACGAAUUCUCUCGCCUUUGAGAUCUCAUGUUGCUCGGUUCAGGUCAAGCUUUUACGCUGAUGACACUGCUCUGUUCAUCAAUCCAACUCUGGAGGAUUUUAUGGCUGUUCAACAAAUAUUACUGCUGUUUGGUAAUGCCUCGGGCCUCACUACAAAUAUGGAGAAAACAGUGGCAUACCCUAUUGCGUGCACAACCAAUGAUAUCGCCCCCAUGAUAGCGCAGUUUGGUGGGCUGCCAGGAUCUUUCCCUUGCCAGUAUUUGGGCUUGCCGCUGGGUAUCAGGAAGCCGAGGAGGGCUGAGGUUCAGCCGGUGAUUGAUAAGAUUGCAGGAAAACUCUCUCCCCGAAAGGGGCGCCUGAUGAACAGAAUGGGAAGGUUGAUCUACAUCAACUCGGUCGUCACAGCCACAACCACCUUUUUCUUGACGGUUCUCCAACCAGACAAGUGGUUCAUCAAAAGAGUUGACAAGCUCAGGAGAAAUUUCCUAUGGGAGUCGGAGGAUGCAUCGACUGGUGGCAAAAGCCUGGUAAACUGGGCACAGAUAUGCUCCCCCAAAAAAUAUGGAGGCCUUGGGGUGAAGAACAUCGACUGUUUCAGCAGGGCGCUUCGGUUGCGCUGGGAGUGGUUUAAAUGGGAUGAUGUUGAUCGGCCUUGGAAGGGUUCCACCACACCAACUGAUGUUGUGGACAAG